rfam:Capsicum annuum cultivar Zunla-1 unplaced genomic scaffold scaffold3682, whole genome shotgun sequence
AUAGUUACCUGGACGGGUUCAAUGGGUGAUCAUGAAGGCCCAUGGCCUAGGUUGCUGACUUCCAUUACACUUUGGAAGGGUGUUUGUCUAAGGUCGGUACCAAGUGGUUGAGUUUAUGUCAUAAUUAGUGGGGGCCUGCAUUCGUGGACACUACUA